rnacentral:rRNA from 1 species
CGUGUAGGCGGCUCGGUAAGUCCGCUCUGAAAGCCCGGGGCUCAACCCCGGGAGGCGGGCGGAUACUGUCGAGCUAGAGUCCGGAAGAGGCGAGUGGAACUCCUGGUGUAGCGGUGAAAUGCGCAGAUAUCAGGAGGAACACCAAUAGCGAAGGCAGCUCGCUGGGACGGUACUGACGCUGAGACGCGAAAGCGUGGGGAGCAAACA